rnacentral:rRNA from 1 species
UGGGGAAUAUUGGACAAUGGAGGGAACUCUGAUCCAGCAAUUCUGUGUGUGUGAAGAAGGUUUUAGGACUGUAAAACACUUUUAGUAGGGAAGAAAAAAAUGACGGUACCUACAGAAGAAGCAACGGCUAAAUACGUGCCAGCAGCCGCGGUAAUACGUAUGUUGCGAGCGUUAUCCGGAAUUAUUGGGCGUAAAGCGCGCGCAGGCGGACUAGCCAGUCAGUCUUAAAAGUUCGGGGCUUAACCCCGUGAUGGGAUUGAAACUACUAGUCUAGAGUAUCGGAGAGGAAAGUGGAAUUCCUAGUGUAGCGGUGAAAUGCGUAGAUAUUAGGAAGAACACCAGUGGCGAAGGCGACUUUCUGGACGAACACUGACGCUGAGGCGCGAAAGCCAGGGGAGCGAACGGG